AAUGUCAUAUUCUUGCAGGUGAAGUGCCCAACGGCCGAACCGGCCCGACACGUCUUUCAAGGAGGAGAGCCAACAAAGGGUGUGAUGGGUACAGUUGGCAUAAGACUAGUUACAGAGGGGGCCAAGGAUGCCGCCAGGACCCAAGAACUACUGGCUGUCACCUAGGCGGGGCCUUUGGCCCUCCCCACCAACUCGCAGGGCACACAAAGUUAUUUCCUCCUCCUCCAUUAUGAUAGUAAUUGUUUAGACUGUACAUUAUACAUGUCGCUUUGGUUGUUUGCUAACUGGUUGGUAAUUAGCUUUGUUAUUAUGUUUAUAGUAUUUCUUAUGCCUACCCUGCUUGUAACUUGAGUCUGCAGUAUGUAAUAAAAAAAUUAUAAUUUUCAUGGUCAAGAUCAAACACUGCAUACUUCCAGCAGACAAAAUAUUCUGCUUGUUUUACAAUAAAUUACGGAGUUCGUCAUUUUCAAAAUGAAUAGCAGGUUACGGAAGGCCCCAUAGAUGAGUACUGUGGACUAAUAUGACUGCCUAGAGUUAAUUAAUAUGCACCCAAAGCAUGGUACACAGGUGUUUUUGCAUUCCACUCCCCCACAGAAUGUGAUUAUCAUGGCUUGGAAUUGAACUCCAACUCCUCGUGCUUAAUAAACCCCCUCGAUACAUGUUUUCACUGACCAGGUUAAGUACCACCAACCUACCCUCGUCCUCCACGCUUCUCCCUCGCUCACCCCCCUAGCUUCCGGCAUCAAGCAGAACUUGCGUAGUCCCAACUUCUACUUUUAGGUGGAAGCAUGCAAAAAGCAAAAAUUCAGGAACCAGAAAUCUCAGAAGUGGAACAACCAGAAAUGAAAACACCGGAAGCAGAAAUUGCAGAAGCAGAACCGGUAUGAGCGAUGAAUCAGGAAACAGCGGCGCACAUCAAAGGUUGGUGCUAAUUAGCAAAAGCGGCGCUGGCGUGCGGUUGGAAGGGCUUUAGUGCUUAGCACUGUGCAACACCAUGGCCAGUGCGAAACAGCUGCGGGUAUUCUGCUUUCUCAUCUAUUCUUGAAGAAGUCAUGCCGCGUUUGCACUUGUUUUUAUGAAAGCACUUGUUUUCAUAUCCUAGACCAAAUUCAUCUAGUCUUGUUGUUUUGUUCAGUACUGCCCCCUCUCUAGCAGUUCUGGCCUUUUUCUUCUCUUCUCCUUUCUUUUGUUUUUUUUUUACUUAGGUGUGUUAGAAGCAGCAAAAAUGUAUUUUGCAUGCUUGAAAAACAAAUUAUUAUUGACUUACCUGGUACUUACAGUAUGAUAAUCUGAAAAGUUACCUUUAAGUAAGCAAUGCAAAAGCAAAAAAAGAAGGCUGCAAAAAUACAUGCACUCGACGUUAGUUACUGUAUACGUUUAUUUUUAAACUUAAAGUCAGUAAGUGAUAUGAAACAACAUUCAAUAACUUUCUAACUUGCGGUAAAAUGUCCUC
rnacentral:lncRNA from 1 species